UUUAUUGAGCCCGGUCUGGCAAAUUAUUUUUUAAAAAAAAUGGGGAAAGGGCCCAGCCCGAAAUAUUUUUAAAAAAACAAAAGCCCAGUGCCCAACAAGAAAAUAAAACCCCAAAGCCCUAAAUAUACCGGCCCAAUACAUAUUCCGACCCACUUAAACGAAAUCCUAGAGCCAAACCCUACCCGGUUACGACCCGCUCGACCGACCCGACUACCAAUCGCCGACCCGACUCGCGCCUCCUCCUCACGCUCGCGGCUAGCCCUAAUGCCGGCGACCGGUGCCUAACCCGUCUGCGUAGCCACCCCGACGAGGGGUGGCGGGCGUCCUCCGUCCGGAUCACCGCCAUGGCGACCGACGGCCGACUGGGACCGUCUAAGCCUUGACGAGAGGCGGGCCGGCCGAGAACCAGCCAGAUCCCGGCGAGGGACCGGCUGGCUGCCUCCUCUCUCGGUCACGCCCGGACCGUCGCCCUAUCUGUGGGCCUCCUCUGCCCGCGUCACCGCCGUGGCAACCGGCGGCCGGCCGGGACCAUCCGGCGUUCCAGCACAAGAAACGCAACAGAACAGAGACAAAUUCAAGAAGCUUGGUUCAGGCAUAACAUCGAACAGUUGGGGCUCGCUACAAAAACGAGUGAUUCUAGGCUCGAUCGAGGCUCAAAACGAACCAAAAUUAUCGACACAAGAUGCACGGAGAAGCAAGAGCAAGCACGAGGCGUCACGGGCCGGAACUCGCGCGAUCUGGACGGCCGCGAGCUCCGGCCAGUGAGCCCGAGACACGGGAACGCAACAGAAACAGGGGAAGGAGGGGCGGCCGUUUGCGGCACUCCCUUUUCGGCUCGGCGGCGGCAAACGGGGGCAAAAGUGAUAGAUCGAACUACGUCCGGUCGCCUCGCACGCCUCCGAGCCGAAAUCCUAGGGAAAUCGACCCGAAUCACACCAAACAAAACCCGACAACGGCUCGGGACCGGGACCUACCCCGAGAAAUGGGCCUGCUGCGGCCGGCCGAUCUCCCGACUCGCGGAUCAUGCUACCUCCUUGCACCAUCUGCUCCUCUGACCUGCAUUUCCCCUGCCGACUGCUCUGUUCUUCUCCCCCGUACUAGCCACAUUGAGGGGGAAGAAGGUGAACAGUCGCGGGCCGGGCCAAGGGGAAAAGUGGCCGGCCCGCGUGGGAAAAUACGAAAAAAAAAAAUGGACCGGCUGAUCCGGUCCGUUCGAACCGGGUUGAACCGGCCCGAAAAGCCCUUCUUCUUCUUCUCUUUU